ACUGGCACACCCAUCUGAAGAAACUCACAAAGGAAAGCAAUAGUGAACCUGGAUUGAAAGAAGAUUACUCAAUGGAGCAACCAAGUGAAACUUCUCAAUGUGAGGUCAUCAGCAAGAAUGGAGAUCUGAAAGUUGAGAAAUUUGUCCCAGAUACUCCUUCACACGGAAUAUUGGAAAGCUCUCCAUUAUCCCCAGAGCCUUCUUCUAGCGAGCUUUCCCACUGGACCUCAGAUUCUGCACUGGUUACAGUAUCUAGUACAAGUUCAAGUUCAGACUGGAUUGCGGAAGAUAGCCUCCCUUCAUUUGAAACAUUUGAAAAUACAAGUGAAGAUUUCUGGACCCAACCUUUUGUAGCAGACCAAGAUGGCUAUAGAUUACCAAUGCUAG
rnacentral:misc_RNA from 1 species